GAUGAACGCUGGCGGCGUGCCUAACACAUGCAAGUCGAACGGAGUCGUUUUGGAAAUCUCUUCGGAGAUGGAAUUCUCGACUUAGUGGCGGACGGGUGAGUAACGCGUGAGCAAUCUGCCUUUAAGAGGGGGAUAACAGUCGGAAACGGCUGCUAAUACCGCAUAAAGCAUUAAAUUCGCAUGUUUUUGAUGCCAAAGGAGCAAUCCGCUUUUAGAUGAGCUCGCGUCUGAUUAGCUAGUUGGCGGGGUAACGGCCCACCAAGGCGACGAUCAGUAGCCGGACUGAGAGGUUGAACGGCCACAUUGGAACUGAGACACGGCCCAGACUCCUACGGGAGGCAGCAGUGGGGAAUAUUGCGCAAUGGGGGAAACCCUGACUCAGCAACGCCGCGUGAUUGAAGAAGGCCUUCGGGUUGUAAAGAUCUUUAAUCAGGGACGAAACAAAUGACGGUACCUGAAGAAUAAGCUCCGGCUAACUACGUGC
rnacentral:rRNA from 1 species